UAUUCUUCAUAUUCCCGCUAAUAUGUCCAAAGCUGAUGUGGAAAAAACUAUUUAUGCGAAAAGAAUCAAUUACAUGAUCCAUAGCUUAAAUGAAACAUGUACAAUCAAAUUUGACAGUAGAAACUAUGGAUCGCAAACUACAAGAAACUGAACAAAUGUACGUUCAACUCAAAUACUUUCUGCGAUCAAUGGCAGGCAACCGAUUUUUUUGGAAAUUUCACUAACGUGAAGCGCAAUAUCAAUCAAUGGAUACUGGAAAUAACAAAAACUAUUUCUAAUAUUCUGCCAACAGGCAGCGUUCAUCUCAAUGCCGAACUGGUCUUGGUGAACGCAAUCCGUUUUUACGGCUCAUGGGACCAAGUUGAUUUUGCAGAAGAUUCCCCAUCGCAAAGUACAUCUUCUCAAAACCGACUUUAUUUCAAUAAAGUAUCUCGGACGUAUAGACAAUAUGAAAUAUUCCAAUUAGUAAGACGCCUCCAAGACCGAGGAAGGAUCUGAUGAAUUUCGCCGGCUGCUGAAUGGAGAAAUACCGGCGCAAGAAAGCGAAUUUAGACGAUGAUGGAAUUUUCGAUCGAACAGGAAACGUCGAUCGGUGAUUUGCUGUGUAAUCUAGGCGCUGAAGAAGUAUUAGCAA